AUUAAAAUAAUUGCUCACCAAGUUACAACUUAGUAAUGUAUAAAACAUCGAUAAAUAAUGUUAAAUCAAACGUAAGGGAAUAUGGAGCAGAACAGAAAGCUAAGAUAUCAUCAAAAUUAAACAUACACAUAAAUAUGUGUAAGCAAAGGGGCUCGGAUUCUAUCAUCGCUGGUCGUUCUGGGGCCUGUGCAGUUUUGGGUGACGCGUUAGAAAAUUUAGGAUAUCAAACUAAGUCCCUGGAACAUUGCACCUCUAUACCUUUGCUAAUUACGGCAUUGGAGACUGAUAUUCGUAUUUCACGGCACACUGUGCUGCAUAUAUUAUGUAUAUCUGUUUCCAUUUUGUAUGAAGCGUCGUUCGAAAUGAAUUUCACGAAUAUUUCAAAUACUUUGCAGAACAUAGUGGUUUAAAAUAUAAUCAAUUGAAAAGGAAUCAUAAAAACGUAUGGUUAACCACCUUUACGAUAUAAAUACAACAACUAAUGGAAAUAAAUUUAAUUAAAACAGUUAUCAAAGUGCAAC